UUGUUGUUGUUGUUACUCUUUGUUUCCUCUUGAAUUCCCAUGCGUCCGUCUAGGCUCGUUCUCCUUCUCCUAGAACUGCCAUUAUUAUUUUUCUUUAGUAUUAGAGAUAGUGUUUUCUUUCCAGUCCAGAUCUUCUGGUGACACAUAAUCUCAGUUUUUAUUUGCCGAAAAAGCCUCUAUUUUGUUUUUAUUUUUGAAGAUAUUUUUGGUGAGUCAAGAAUUUGAGAAGAUGGCACAGUUAUUUUCUUUUAACCCUUUGAAGAUGUCAUUGCAUUCCAUUGUUUCUGUUAAAAAGUCAGCCAUUAGUCCUGCUCUUGCUGCUUUUAAAAUUGUUUCUUUGCUUUGAUUUGCAGCAGUUGUAUUCUGAUAGGCCUAGGUAUACCAACGACCAAACCCGCUGCUGUCAAGUUGGUUCCAACUCAUAGUGAUCCCAGAGGGCGGAGUAGAACUGCCCCAUCGGGUUUCCAAGGCUGUAAAUCUUUACAGAAGCAGACUGCCACAUCUUUCUCCCACGGAGCAGCUGGUAGCUUUGAACAGCUGACCUCUUGAUUAGCAGCCAAGCAGCUUAACCACUGUGCCACCAGGGCUCCUUGCCUAGGUAUAGCUUUAUAUAUAUCCUGCUUGGGUUUCAUAGCACAUAUUGAACCUGUGACAUGACAUGGUAUCUUUUAUCAUAGCGUCUGCCUCCUCCUUUUUCAUCUCCUUCUGGGACUGUAAUGGUAUGUGUGUUAGACCUUUUCACUGUGCCUCUAAGGCUCUUUUCUGUAUUUUCCAUUCUUUAGGCUUUUUGUGAUUCAGUUUAGAUAUUUUCUACUGACUUAUCUUCUAGCUCAUUAAUCCUGCCCUCUUUUGUGUUUAAUUGGUAUUUAAUCCUGUUUAUUGAGUUCUUAAUUUCAGCUAUUGUAAUAUCUAGUCCUAGAAUUUUCAUUUGAUUUUUAAAAAAUAGUUUCCAGUUCUUUGAUGAUAAUAUCCAUCAUCAUCUAUUUUCUUUAAUAUUUAAUUGCACUUAUUUUAUCGUCUCUGUGGACUCCAAUAUCUGGUUCUUCUGUGGAUGUGUUUUCUAUCUUUUCUCUUGCUUUUCAGUCAGUAGGUCUUACCUUCUGGUAGUCCUGGUAAUUUUUUAUUGAAGACUGGACAUUUUAUAUGAAGAAUUAAAGACACAUGAAGUCUUUGAAUCUUCAUUCAGAGAGGAUUUGCUUUUCUUCUGGCCAAAGGAGGGUUUGGAUAGAUUGGGUUGUGGGCUGCAGAUCGAGUGAAACAAACAAACCAGACCAAACUCAUUGCUGUCGAGUCAGUUCCGACUCAUAGCAACCCUACAGGACAGAGUAGAACUGCCCCAUAGGGUUUCCAAGGAGCGGCUGGUGGAUUUGAACUACCGACCUUUUGGUUAGCAACUGAUCUCUUAACCACUGUGCCACCAGGGAGGGCUAGUUUAUUUCUGGUUACCCCUUAGUCUCAGGGGUAGCCCUCGAGGGGAUUUAACUGAAAACUUGUUAAAAAAAUUCUUUUUUAACCAGGGCUCCUCCAUGGCAAGUUCAGUUUUUAUCACCCAGCCUUGUGAGGCUUCUGACAGCUCUGCUAAGCUUUUCAGCCCUGCUUAGGAGUUGGUAGGAUCCGUGAGGGCAUCAGCAGGUCCAAGAGCCCUCCUCAUCUCUCUGAACUUCCUUUCUUUCCAGGAUCUUGGCCCUCAAGUCCUCACUGCAUUGCUAGCUCUCUCAUGUGUUCAAACAAAUUAAAACGAAAGUUUUUUAAGCUGCUUUCAGUGUGAGGCAUUGGUCUGAUAAAAGCUCGUCUGCCAUAAUCUGCAGUAAAGUCCAACUGUAGUUUCUAGCAUUAUUGUUAUUAUUAUUAUUUGAAAAUCCUUCAAAGAAGAUGUCACUUGAGGCCAAAAACCCUUUGACAAGUUUACAGGAUGGGAGCCUCUUCCCAUCCCUUCUGUGAAGAGGCUUCUGAGCUAUCGAAGCAGGAAGUGACAUUUACAGAGCAUCUUUUAUGUGCAAAGACCUCCUGUAUGUGUGGCAGGAAACAGGUGAAGACAUUUUUUUCCCGGGGAAGGAGAAUGGGACUGUGGUGAGGAAUGCAUUGGGUAAGAGGGAUGUGGGUCAGAGGAUGGGUCCUGAGGAUGCAGUGUGAGAACAGGCAAUGGAGGAGGACAUGGGUCAAUGAGGCCCCAGGAACGUGGGCAGUAUCUUUACCCAUUUGAUGCUGGUGGGGAUUCUCCUUGAUGGGGACCAGGUGCUACAGCAUAAUGAACUGACACUUCAUACACACACACAGAUACACACACACGCACACACAGAGCAAGCCCCUUGCUGCCUUCAGCUCUCAUUCUUUUACUGUCUCCCGCUAAAUAUUUCCAGCUUCCUGAAUAUGGCUACCUGGGUGUCUCAUAGGAGGAGGACCAGCUUGCCGUAGCCCAAACGAAAUGAUCUGUGUGUUGUCGACUUAGCCUUGCUACUGCCUCCUUCUCAGUUCUCUGCAUUGCAAGAGAAGCCAGGAACCUCUUUUCCCAGAAUCUUCUUCCCUAUAUAAUUCCAAGUUAGAAUUUACCAGCUCUACAUGGGAAGUAUAUUAUAGCCCUGGGCCUCUUUCUUCCUCCUCACUGCUGCCUGCAUUUGAGCCUCUGUCACUGACUGUCCCAAUUGGCAGGAGAGCCUCUUAUUGGAUAUCUGUGUCAGGGCUCAGUCAGAAGAAAGAAACCACACAGUAGUUUAAACAAGAAAUUUUUAAUACAAAGAAUUAUUAACUAACAGAUUGGAGUAGCAAGGAGUUGGUAAGUAAAGAGAACUCUGUAGGAAUAGCAGAUAGAAGGAGCAGCCACCAUCCCUAGGGCUGAGAUAGAACACCCAAGGAAGAACCCCCGUACGCCCACCCCCUGCUGAGAACCAGACCUUGUUGGGGAGAACACGGCUGUGGCUGCCCCACAGUGACUGGAUGGCAGAGGUCUCUGCGGUGCCACAUUGGCAGAAUGUACUAAAAAUCUGGCCUCUGGAACUUGCCAGAAAUUUGCACUUGAUGUUGUCAAGGAAAGCUGUCCACGGAGACGUGAAGUGUCCAUGGAGAAGUGGCUCAGUGCAGGUGCUCCCCUGUUUGUGGUGGGUAGGGGAGAAGCUGCUGGCUGCUAAGUGCUGCUGACCACCGUGUACAGCAGGAUCCAUGUGCUAGAAAAGGACUGUGCCUCAGGAGCCUGACGUUGGAGAUGUCGCCUGCACUGCGGGAGCUGGAUGCUGGAGAAGCCAUCUGUGCUCUAGCCUGCUGAGAUGAACACCCCAGAACCAGGAAGGAAAGUCCUCUCCUCCACCAGUGUUUCUCCAGCACCCCCUAAUGACAAGGCUUACACUGCACCAGUUGGCCAAGAAAAAGUACUUAAAGGGCCCAUCUCCAUUUUGAAAUCUGGACCCUGAGUGAAAGAAGGGUUAGUUUGGAGCUGAAAGCAAUAACUGGCACAAUGUCACUCUACUGUCAUUGUGCUAGGCAAUAUAGUCAAGUGGUUAAGAGUGGACUCGAGUCAGGCUUCCUGGGUUCAAGUCUCAACUCUGCUACUUCGUGUAACCUUACGAGAUUUAUUUAACUGUCUCAAUUUUCUGAUCUGUGACACUGGGUAAUAAUGGCAUCACCCUCAUCGGGGGUAUUGUUCUGAUUGAGUUGAUGUUUGUAAAACAUGCAGAAGAGUAUCUGGCCCAGAGUAAGCAAUAUACCAGAGUUUAAAUAUUAUUAUUACCAGUCACACUCAAUUCUAUCCUUCAAGUUGCAGCCAGGGUGGGCUUUCCAUUGCAGGUAUGGAUUUUAGUCCAUAGUACAGAGGCAUAAGACAUCCUAUUCCUUUAUUCCUCUUUUGUCUGAAGUGGGAAGCAGGGAUAGGGCAUAUGAAUAUAAGAAGUUGUCUUCUUAAUAACUUACCCAGUUCAUAUCGCAAAAUCCAGAAAUCUGGCUGCAUCACUUUGUUGCUUAGAACCCAUCUGUGGCUCCCCAAGUCCCUUCACCUGGAUACGAGGCUCUUGCUCUGCCCACUGGAUCUCCCACCACACCUGGCUCAGGCUUUCACUUUAGUAAUUCCAAACGUUUAAGUUCUCUACCCUUGCACCCCACCAGGUUGUGUCUCUGUUUUCCUUUUGAGAUACUGUUUUCUUCCUGUUUGCUUGGCUAAUUCCUCUUCAACCUUCAGAAAACUCUAGUAGCAUCUCCCAGCAGUGCACAAGGCUGAUAUACUGCACCAGCUCCCCCAGGAAUCCUUCCCCGAGCUCCCAAGUUGGCUGCAAAAUGCUCCUCAAAUAUUUACUCCCAAAGUUGUUGUCCCAUUAUAUUGAAAUUAUAUGCUUUGGGCCUGGCUAAAGUUGAAGGCACUUGGGGUGUCCUGAAUGUUGCUCAUGUUUGCACACUGUUGUAGCACAAACAGGACUGUCUGUCUGUGCUGGCUGUGCACCCCACCAUCUAGGGCUGCUGUUUGCAGAGGUUUGCACACCUGGCCUGCUCUUCUCUAUGGCGCAAGCACCAAACGGAGUCACACAGUAGGUGAAUUUUACCCUCAAGUUCUAGAAAUUUAUCACAGUACCCCUUUAUAACUGCCAGUUACACUAACAGGCCUCUCCUAAGGACUUGUGUUGAUAAAAAGUUGUUAGUUAGGAGUGACUGAAAAUAUUUUUAAAUGACAAAACCACAGACCUUUAAAAGAGGUGUCUGGUACUAAUUGCUCUACGUUCACGGGUACCUCAGACAUAGGGCUAGGGUGGGGGAAAAGAAGAGGAACGCCAUACUGUGAUGCAACCAAAGGUUUUAAUUGGCGGCAGCUCCUCUUGCAGUGGCUUUUUCAGGAGCUGAAGCGACUCAUUGGUGGCACAGGGAUGGCUCAGACAUCUUCUCCUCCAGGGGAGUUUGCGAAUCAGUCUUCAUGACUCCUGUUCACUGCCUUCUUCCUCUAGGGGGCGCUCCAGCAGCUGUGCAGCCUCAGAGAACUGCGUGGGUGCUGCAGACUACAUUCUUCAGGGCCUCCCAUAGGUACACAACUUGAGCAUCCCCCAGUUGUGGGAGGGGUCAUAUGGGUGUCUAUUGUUCAAAACUCUUUGGCGAGAAUCUGCAUUCAGAUCUGAAAAAAAAGAAGGAAAAAUUAUUCUGCGUAAAGGCUUUGAAUUACACAUGAAUGAACUGUCUUGGUUAUAUCUAUUCUGGUGAUUUCUCCAAUUAUUAAUGGCCAUUAAAAAAAUUCUGCUUGAGCUAAGAAUGACCCCCACAAUGGGUUAAGCAAUGGAGAUUUUGGGGUUUACUUGUUAUCUCAGCAUAGUGUAGCUGAUUCUGAUUAAUACACAUAUACAGUUACCAUUUGUUGAGUGCCUUCUUUGUGUAGGGCCAUAUUCAAGGCACUUCUAUACAUUACCUUAUUGCAUCUUCUGAACAACCUGAAUGGUAGCUAAUGCAUUAUAAUUAUCACUAUUUUACAAAUAAGGAUGCUGAAGCUCUGAGAGUGUCUUGCUCAAGCUCAGUUAGUGGUAGAGACAGGGUUUAAAUUGAUAUGUAAGGCUCUAAAGCCAGUGAUCUUAACUACUACUUAUAUAGUCUUUAGGCAGUAUCGUUUACAGGCUAGGGUAACUACUCCCCUUCCACACCCCCAAAAGCUGAAAGAAAUCCAUGAAUGUCACAACAGGAGGUGGCUGGGGGACUGAGGUUUAGAGAAAUAGCUCAGGAGUUCUUGCAAACUACUGACCCAAGCAGUGGUAUUUUCAUUUGCCUCAUAUGCAUGUGAAAGCUGGACAGUAAAUAAGGAAGACUGAAGAAGAAUUGAUGCAUUUGAAUUAUGGCAUUGGUGAAGAAUAGUGAAUAUACCAUGGACUGCCAGAAGAAUGAACAAAUCUGUCUUGGAGGAAGUACAGCCAGAAUGCUCGUUAGAAGCAAGGAUGGUAAGACUUCGUCUCAUAUACUUUGGACAUGUUAUUAGGAGGGACAAGUCUCUGGAGAAGGACAUUAUUAUUGAUAAAGUAGAGGGUUAGUGAAAAAGAGGAAGACCCUCAAUGAGAUGGAUUGACACAGUGGCUGUAACAAUGGGCUCAAACAUAGCAGCGAUUGUGAGGGUGGGGUAAGACUGGGCAGUGUUUCGUUCUGUUGUACAUAGAGUCGCUAUGAGUCAGAACUGACUUGAUGGCACAUGACAAACAACACCACCACUAUAUCCAUGCCAAGAACCUACCGAAAGUCCGUGGAUGAUGCUGUUGGGAUGUCCUUGGACUAUGGGGGUCAACAUUGGUAGAGGACCUCUGGCUGCCCAUGCAACAACAACAGAAGAUCUUUGAAGCCAAGUUUUAGUGGGCUGUGGAAGGAGGAAAUGGCAUGGGCUUCUGGUCUACAGCCCCAUUCCCAGAAGCCCAUUGGUAUUUAGUAGUGGGCCAUCCUGGGCCAGCCUCUCUCAAGGCCUCACAUCCCGCCUCUCUCCCAAACCUUCUGUGGCUCUCAGUGGCCAGCAGGUUCAGGCCCUUCUGCCUGGGCCUACCUCUCUGAAGACCAGUUCUUCCUCUCACACACUAAGUUCUCUUACCCGUGGGAAGGACUUGGCAGCUCUAUUCUGCCAGCCUUUACCUGCAGGGGCUCCUUGUUCAAUCAACAGUUCUUGAGGUCUGGUGCAGUUCUUUAGGCAGGGCUGUUUCCUGAGUGAACAUAAGACAGUGGCUGAAAAAUUCUGGUCUCUUCUCUGCCAAAUCCUAUGACAUCAGAACCAAACCCCAGUACGUGCAGUAGCGUACACUGAUAAGCUCGUGUUCAGGUGUGUGCUCUUGGGCAGAUUCCUUAGUCUCUUUGAGCCUUACUUUCUUAUCUGGAAAAUGGGAAUAACUUGUGAUGGUUAAUUUUAUGUGUCAACUCGGCUAGGCCAUGGUGCCCAGUUGUUGGUCAACCCGUAGGACUUGGCUCUCCUCACCCAUGUGCCGUGUGGACUGAUGGCUUUGUGGACAAUUAAUGGGUUUGCUUUCUGGCCGCCUCUUGUGGGACCACCUCCCUGUGCCACCCUCCUCAUCCCAAAUCUGUUUUUCCUCCUGCCAUGUUUUCUAUUUUGGGGACAGGUUCCAGUAGUCACCGUGUGUCUGGAGGCAGAAAUGUGGACCCCCACCUUCUCCUCCUCCCCUCUGGGCCUUUAUUUCUCCACCUCACACAUUAAAUCAUUCAUCAAGCCCUUUGAUUCUACCUCAUAAAUAUCUCCUUAAUCCAUUUGCACCCUUGUCAUGGAUUGAAUUGUGCCCCCCCCAAAAUAUGUGUCAACUUGGUUAGGCCAGGAUUCCCAGUAUUCUGUGGCUGUCCUCCAUUUUGUGAUUAUAAUUUUAUGUUAAAGAAGAUUAGCGUGGGAUUGUAACACCACCCUUACCCACGUCACACCCCUGAUCCAAUGUAAAGGGAGUUUCCCUGGGGUGUGGCCUGUACCACCUUUUAUCUCUCAAGAGAUAAAAGGAAAGGGAAGCGAGCAAAGACUUGAGGACCUUGUACCACCAAGAAAACACUGUGAGCAGAGCACAUCCUUUGGACCUGGGGUACCUGUGCCUGAGAAGCUCCUCAACCAGGGGAAGAUUGAGGACAAAGACCUUCCUCCACAGCCGACAGAGAAAGAAAGCCUUCCCCUGGAGCUGAUGCCCUGAACUUGGACUUUCAGCCUACUUUACUGUGAGGAAAUAAAUUUCGCUUUGUUAAAGCUAUCCACUUGUGGUAUUUCUGUUAUAGCAGCACUAGAUGACGAAGACAACCUUCCAUCCACAUUGCCCUGACCGCCACACCCUCUCACUUGGACGAUCCAGGUGGACCACAACCACAUCUUCCAUACUGGUCACCUGGCUCACCUGUAACUGGAAGGUCAGCCCCAAAUGCAAACCCCAUCAGAUCACUCCUCUGUCUCAAACUUCAAUGGCUCCCCAAUUUUUCUGCUUAGAACAUUCUUUGUGAUCUGGCCCUGGCAACUUUCCCGGCCACAUUCAUUCCCAGCUUCAUUCACUCACUAUACCUUGACUGUAAGGAGCUGCCGGCCAUGACUCAUCGCCUCUUAUUCUGCCAUCACUGUGCCUUUGCACAAAGCUGUUCCCUUCUGGAACACUUCCUUCUUGAACACUUAGCUCAGGUGUCACUUCCUCUGGGGAGCCAUCCAUUAUACCUAGGAUGAAUUCUAGGCCUUCUCCUUUAUGGUCCCAUAGUUCCCUUGCUUCCCCGUAUCAUGGUCCUUACCCCAUCGUUGCACAGUGUCUGCCUGGCCCAUAGCAGAUGCUCAAUAAAUACUUGUCAAAUGGACUGUACCAUCACUGCCUGUUUAUUUGCCUACCAGAGUCUAGACUUUAACCUGUGAAUUUUUUUUUCAUUUGCUCGGCAUAUAUUUACUGAGGACCUACUCACUGUGUGAGGUGCCAGGGAUACUGCGGUGAGCAAGAGAGUCUCUGCUCUCAGGGAGGCAGGGCUGGGUCCACUUCACCUUGGGAUUCCAGCACUUAGCACAGGGCUGGACACAGAGUAGGUGCCCUCUCAAUAUCAGUUGAUUACCUGAGUCUUUGCUGACUGUUGGACAAUAGCAGUAUACUCACCUCUAUCCCCUUUCUCCCUUCCACUAAUGGGUUUUUAACUCCCUGCUGAUAGAAAUGGAUAGAAACAUCCCCAUUUGAGACUUCCUCAUUUUCCCCAGUGGCUUCAGUCUUAGAAGUUAACGGCGGGAAGAGAAACAGCCAACAUGUGAAGGACACAGACAUUCAUUGAGCAUCUCAGACUAGUCCUUUUAAAUCUAGGAGCCCAUUUAACUUAUCACCAUCGUAUAAGGCAGGCCUUGCCCCACUUUUCAUGGGGAGAACUGAGUGUCAGAAAGGUGACCUUUCCAAGGUCUCACAGCUAAGAGGAACAGUUGGGAUUUUAACGUACUUUUGUCUGAUGUCAGAUCCCGUAUUCUCUACGGCUUCACUCUACAGGCAAUUCCAAGGAAAGAGAUGUUCAGAACCACCUUCUUCCUUUGAGACUUGAAGGCAGGUGGUUUUUAAAUGAAAAAGCCCCACUGAAACUCAGCAAAGCAGCGGAGUAGUUAAGAGCGCAUGUUUUGGAGUCAGAUGGACUCAGGAUCUAAUUCUUGCUGCACCUCGAGGUGUAAUUUAGAGCAAUUUAACCUCCUUGAGCCUCAGUUUUCCCAUCUAUUAAAUGGGGAUGGUAAAUCUGGCUCCAGGGUGUUGUGAAGAUUGGGUGAGGUAAAGAUAUAAAGUGUUUAACACGGUGUCUGGUACAUAGUAAGUCCUUAAUAACGCUAAUGAUGGUGAUGUAGGGGUGAGGCUGGCUGGGGAGGGCGGGCUGUGGUGUUUCAUGCACUACCAGUGCCCCCCUCUAGAGGGAAGUAGGAGCCAAAGAAAAGGGCCCUUGGGUUAUUCCCCGUGUGUUGUGAACUUUAGGUCUGAGGAGCCUAUAGAACUUCUACCAGAACAAGAAAGAUCAAGGAGCUCAAACAGGAAGGCUUCUGGAGCUGGAGAAGCCCUUAGUCAUUCAGCACAGCUGGGAAGGCAGACCCAGAGAGAGAACAAUGGGCUCAAGUCGAAUAUUACUGGAGCCUCCUGAGUUCUGGAAAGCAUUACACCAAUUGUCCAGAAGAGAGAACGGAAGCUCAGGGAGGUAUUUUUAGAAUUACUGAAGUUCCUCAAACUGGGAAGAACGAAGGAUGGAGGGAAGGAGGAGACUAAUUGAAUGUUCACCAGGGACCAGGUACUGUGUUGGGCAUUGAUGUGUAUUUCUCAUAUAAUCCUUCAAGGAGGGGCCAACCUCACCUUUUUGUAGCCCUUUUAAGCCUAUAACUGAGGUUUAAAGAGGCCAAGUAACUGUUCAAUAUCAAAGAAUAAAUGGAGAGUUGGGAGUCUGAAACUUUAGUCCAAGUACAGACCCUGGCGCAUUUCGGGAGCUCCACAAACAUUGGCUGAAUGCUCAGUGGAUGAAGGAGCUGAAGUGAUGUGGUCUUUGAGAUUCUCUUAUCAGCAUUUCGCCAGAAAAAUCUCUUGAGUGUAUUUUAACUAAUGACCCAGUUAGCCUUUACGCCCACGUUUUGUAGUCACUCUCUAGUAUAUUCAUAAACAGGAAGAGACAUUCAUUACUUUUUGUCAUAAAUGUUGCAAUUGCAAAGGCAUAAAUGUUUUAUGACCCAUAACAUUGCCCCAGCACUUUUAGAAGAAAUACACCAAUAUUUGGCCUCUUCUGUCUUGUGCCUCCCUGUUUGUACUUGCGUAAGGUUAAAAUUAAAUUACAAAUGCUUUAUUCUGAGGUCAUUUUAUUUCAUCCUCUUCCAAGUUGCCCUGGACAGGACUUUACAUGCAACAUUCAGCAUGUUACAGAGCAAAGAAUGCAGUCUUGUCAGUCUAGCAAAUUUGGAAGUUGUAGCUCUGUUAUUUCCUUGCUUUCUGACUUUAGCAUGUCACCUGACCUCAGUGAGACUCAGUUUCCUUAUCAAUAAAAGCAAACAAGAAUUCUUCCCUCUCAGGACUAUUGUGAUGGCUAAGAAAGGCCAUGCACAUAAAAUGGGUACCCCGUUCAUUUCCCUUCUUUCUUUUGCCUCAAUAAGUGCUUAUGGUAUGUAUCCUGGUUCAGCGCAUCUUCCCUUAAGUCUUGUGCCUUCAGUUGUAGACUGCAGCCACCUUCCUGUCUCUUUAAGUCAAGUGGUGAAGUUGGAUACUUUGGGAGCGUUGGGGGGCUUCUUCCUUUUCCCAAUAGACGGAUAUUCAAUUACUUUCUUUAGACCACAGUUUAGGAGACCCUGGGUGGUGCACUCUACUACUAGCUGAAAGGUUGGCAGUCCAAACCCAAUCAGAGGCUCCCCAGAGGAAAGGCCUGGUUAUCUGCUCCCGAAAGGUCACAGCCUUGAAAACCCCAUGGAGCAGUUUCACUCUGCAUGCAUGGGGCCACCAUAAGUUGGAAUUGACAAGAUGGCAUCUACCAACAACAACAGUCUACAGUUUUCUUCUGGACUCCUGCCCUUGCAGAAUGCAAAUUGGUUGGCUGGAAGAUGAGCUCUUGCUGCCACUGUGCUGCGGUGGCACUGGGGUGUGUGGUCUGUCUGAGGACUCAGAACUCGAGCUGCUGUUCAGCGAACGAUGUGUGCGUUCACUUUAAGGAGUGACUGAAAGGAUUCUGAAAUCCCUAGCUACAAGCUGCCAGGAUGUUUGAGGUUCGAAUUCACAGCUCUCCCUUCUGUAGCACACCUUCACUACAUCUGGUUUCUCUGUCCUUUGCCCACAGCCUGACCUUUGUAAUGUAUGGGGCUUGUCUUGGGCGCUUGCCAUGCAGGAGCUCCUUGGGGCUACAGCAGGGGUAAUGCCACUGUGGGAUCAGCAUUUUGCAGUUUACAAAACACUUUUUAUCUCAACUACCUGUUUUCUCCAGACAAUGCUGAGACAAUUGUCAUUAUUGUCCUCGUUUGAAAGAAGAGGAAAUAACUUAGUGAGAUAAAAGGGUUUGUCCAAGGUGGAGUGGGUACAGAAAUAAUGUCUGGUGUAUCUACCUUAUGACAAUAGCUUUCUGAAUAUCUUGCAGAAUUUUCUGCACAGCAAUGGAAAGAAAGGGCAUUAGCCUCCUUCUUUUCCAGACAGGGAAAUCUAAGGCUCAGGGAGGUCUGAUACCUUGUCCACUCUGUCAUGCUGCACUCCUUCCAGCAAACACUUAGUGAAUGUUUUCUGUGUGCCAGGUAUAGCUCAGUGCUCUCAGGGGGUGCAGGGGGCUGGCAUAUAUUGAGCACUUACUAUGUGCUGGAAACCCUGGUGGCAUAGUGGUUAAGAGCUAUGGUUGCUAACCGAAAGGUUGGUAGUUUAAAUCCACCAGGCACCCCGUGGGAACCCUAUGGGGCAGUUCUACUCAGACAUAUAGGGUCACUAUUAGUCAGAAUUGACUCGCUGGCAAUGGGUUUGGUUUUUUUUUUUAAUAUGUGCCAGACACAUUUCAGAAUGUUAUUGUGAAAUCCUUCUGACCACACUGGGAGGUGAAUAAUCCGCCUGAGCUUAUACCCAGAGGCAGACAAGCAUAGUGGCUAGAAGGGACGUAUACUGUGAAUUUGAAUCCCAGCGUCACACUCUGUAUAACUUUGUGCAAGUUGCUUAACUUCCCUGAGCCUCAGUUUCAUCAUCUUUAAAAUGGGGAUGAAAGUAGUAUUCUCCUCAUCAUUUGAUUUUGAAGAUUAACUGAGAUGAUGCCUGUAGGAAUGAUAGCAGACACAGAAGCCCUGGUGGCACACAGUUAAGAGCUCGGCUGCUAACCAAAAGAUCGGCAGUUCAAAUCCGCCAGCUGCUCCUUGGUAACCUCAUGGGGCAGUUUUACUCUGUCCUAUAGGGUCGCUGUGAGUCGGAAUGGACCCUGUAGCACCAGGGUAUUGCACGUGUGUCAUCUGCCAGGCACGUGCUAAGUACCUUUUAUGCAUGAUCUCACUUACUCUUCUUGAAACUGUAAAUAUGAAGAAGCUUAACACAUUGCCUUCCAUACCAGAAGUUAUUGUAAGGUCACAGCUGUGAAGUGGUGAGGCCAUGGCUUUCCCUCCAAUCUGUGUAACUCAGCAGCUGGAGCUCACACCACUCAGGGACCCUGUUGUUCUGGGUGGAGACCAGCUAGGUCAGAGGCAGGUGCAGGGCGAAGAGGGCUAUAGCAGACAAGGACCAGGAGCCUUGCAUGGAUUUUCAGGAACAGGGGCGGAAGUGAGAUUGGCGUGAAGCAGGAAUGAAAGGGGGAUGAGAACAUGGAGAGAGUGUGUGCUGAUGACUCUAGAAACUGGACCUGUAAGGGAAGAACUGUGAUGCAACCCUGGGCGGGAACUCCUUCUAUGGCAUCUCUGACAAUUCAUUCCAUGGUAUUGAAUGCCCAGUCUGUGCCAGGCUUGGGGCUGAGACUGAGCCUGGUGCCUUUGUUAUGCUUGGAACACAGACUGUGCGGUGGAGCGGUGCUGAGGGGAAGACAGGCUUGGCCUCAGGGAAUUGUGGUUCACACACUGGUUCACACUGGGGCCUGGGGAUUCCUCCUGAAGGCAGUGGAGAUCCACUGAAGGCCUCAAAGAAGGCCCGGGCCAAGGUGGAGCUGGGCAGAGAAUGGAUCAGGGGCUGGGAUGGGGUCGGGGGCAAGACUGGGGUGGGGAAGGAGGCACUAAGACAGCUCAUAAAUAGCAGAGACCAAAUAAAACUCUCCAGCAUCAAAGCAUAUUCUCUCUGGCCCAGCGCUGGUAGAGUCCAGAGCAGGUGGAGGCGUUGUCCUCUAUGAUGUAAUUUCCCCAGGCAAGGAAGUACCCUGACCAUAACAAUAGUAGUAAUAGAAGUAAUCAUAACAACAACAACUACCAUUUGUUAACCCUCCACCCCCUGCCAGACACUUUAAACACCUUAUUUUUAAUUAUGCUAAUUUCACACAUAAAGAAGCUGAAGCCUAGGAAGGAUAGGUAACCUGACAAAGUUCACAUGGCUAGGCCAGUGUUCAAACUGAUUAGAGCUUUUUGCCUAUGAUUUUUCCAAGA